rnacentral:rRNA from 1 species
GUCCCACCUGAUCCCAUCUCGAACUCAGAAGUGAAACGCAAUUGCGCCGAUGGUAGUGUGGGGUCUCCCCAUGUGAGAGUAGGUCAUUUCCAGGC